AAGUCGUAACAAGGUUUCCGUAGGUGAACCUGCGGAAGGAUCAUUAUUGAGAGAGGGGCUUCGUGCUCCCGGGGGCUUCGGCCCUCAACUCUUCACCCACUGUCUACCUACCUAUGUUGCUUUGGCGGGCCUCGGGUAUCAUCCCGUGUCGACCUACCGGUCGGCGAGCGCCCGUCAAAGACCCAUUAAAUUCUGUUUUUUAGUGAUGUCCGAGUAAAACACAAUAAUCAAA
rnacentral:misc_RNA from 1 species